AGAGUUUGAUCCUGGCUCAGGAUGAACGCUAGCGGCAGGCUUAACACAUGCAAGUCGAGGGGUAACAGGGAGCUUGCUCCGCUGACGACCGGCGCACGGGUGCGUAACGCGUAUAGAACCUACCUUUUACAGAGGGAUAGCCUUUAGAAAUGAAGAUUAAUACCUUAUGGUAUUGUAGACUGGCAUCAGUUUAUAAUUAAAGAUUUAUCGGUAAAAGAUGGCUAUGCGUCCUAUUAGCUAGAUGGUAAGGUAACGGCUUACCAUGGCAACGAUAGGUAGGGGCCCUGAGAGGGGGAUCCCCCACACUGGUACUGAGACACGGACCAGACUCCUACGGGAGGCAGCAGUGAGGAAUAUUGGACAAUGGAGGCAACUCUGAUCCAGCCAUGCCGCGUGCAGGAAGACGGCCCUAUGGGUUGUAAACUGCUUUUAUAUAGGAAGAAACCUUUUCACGUGUGAGAAGCUGACGGUACUAUAAGAAUAAGGACCGGCUAACUCCGUGCCAGCAGCCGCGGUAAUACGGAGGGUCCGAGCGUUAUCCGGAAUCAUUGGGUUUAAAGGGUCCGCAGGCGGUCGAUUAAGUCAGAGGUGAAAUCCCAUAGCUCAACUAUGGAACUGCCUUUGAUACUGGUUGACUUGAGUCAUAUGGAAGUAGAUAGAAUGUGUAGUGUAGCGGUGAAAUGCAUAGAUAUUACACAGAAUACCGAUUGCGAAGGCAGUCUACUACGUAUGUACUGACGCUGAGGGACGAAAGCGUGGGGAGCGAACAGGAUUAGAUACCCUGGUAGUCCACGCCGUAAACGAUGGAUACUAG
rnacentral:rRNA from 1 species